rnacentral:rRNA from 1 species
GAUGAACGCUGGCGGCGUGCCUAAUACAUGCAAGUCGAGCGAACAGACGAGGAGCUUGCUCCUCUGACGUUAGCGGCGGACGGGUGAGUAACACGUGGAUAACCUACCUAUAAGACUGGGAUAACUUCGGGAAACCGGAGCUAAUACCGGAUAAUAUAUUGAACCGCAUGGUUCAAUAGUGAAAGACGGUUUUGCUGUCACUUAUAGAUGGAUCCGCGCCGCAUUAGCUAGUUGGUAAGGUAACGGCUUACCAAGGCAACGAUGCGUAGCCGACCUGAGAGGGGGAUAGGCCACACUGGAACUGAGACACGGUCCAGACUCCUACGGGAGGCAGCAGUAGGGAAUCUUCGGCAAUGGGCGAAAGCCUGACGGAGCAACGCCGCGUGAGUGAUGAAGGUCUUCGGAUCGUAAAACUCUGUUAUUAGGGAAGAACAAAUGUGUAAGUAACUAUGCACGUCUUGACGGUACCUAAUCAGAAAGCCACGGCUAACUACGUG